rnacentral:rRNA from 1 species
ACUCAAAUGAAUAGACGGGGGCCCGCACAAGCGGCGGAGCAUGUUGCUUAAUUCGAGGCAACGCGAAGAACCUUACCUAGGUUGAACUACGCAGGAAAAGCCACAGAGAUGUGGUGUCCUUCGGGGUCUGCGAUAGGUGGUGCAUGGCUGUCGUCAGCUCGUGUCGUGAGAUGUUGGGUUAAGUCCCGCAACGAGCGCAACCCUUGUCCUAUGUUGCCAGCGGGUAAUGCCGGGGACUCGUAGGAGACUGCCGGGGCCAACUCGGAGGAAGGUGGGGAUGAGGUCAAGUCAUCAUGCCCCUUAUGCCUAGGGCUGCAAACAUGCUACAAUGGCCGGUACAAAGGGCUGCGAGACCGCGAGGUUGAGCGAAUCCCACAAAGCCGGUCUCAGUUCGGAUUGGAGUCUGCAACUCGACUCCAUGAAGCUGGAGUCGCUAGUAAUCCCGGAUCAGCAACGCCGGGGUGAAUACGUUCCCGGGCCUUGUACACACCGCCCGU